UACAGAGGGUGCGAGCGUUAAUCGGAAUUACUGGGCGUAAAGCGCGCGUAGGUGGCAAUGCAAGUCGGGUGUGAAAUCCCUCAGCUUAACUGGGGAACUGCGUCUGAUACUGGAUGGCUUGAGUGUGGGAGAGGAAUGCGGAAUUCCAGGUGUAGCGGCGAAAUGCGUAGAUAUCUGGAGGAACACCGGUGGCGAAGGCGGCAUUCUGGACCAUAACUGACACUGAGAGACGAAAGCCAGGGGAGCAAACGGG
rnacentral:rRNA from 1 species